rnacentral:rRNA from 1 species
CCCUUAGAUGUUCUGGGCCGCCCGCGCGCUACACUGAUGCAUUCAACGAGCCUAUCCUUGACCGACAGGUCCGGGUAAUCUUUGAAUCUGCAUCGUGACGGGGAUAGAUUAUUGCAAUUAUUAAUCUUCAACGAGGAAUGCCUAGUAGGCGCAAGUCAUCAGCUUGCGUCGAUUACGUCCCUGCCCUUUGUACACACCGCCCGUCGCUCCUACCGAUUGGGUGUGCUGGUGAAAUGUUCGGAUCGGCCGUUUGUCGCGGUUUCCGCGUCAUGUGGCUGAGAAGUUCAUUAAACCCUCCCACCUAGAGGAAGGAGAAGUCGUAACA